rnacentral:rRNA from 1 species
GAUGAACGCUGGCGGUGUGCCUAAUACAUGCAAGUCGAGCGAACGGACGAGAAGCUUGCUUCUCUGAUGUUAGCGGCGGACGGGUGAGUAACACGUGGAUAACCUACCUAUAAGACUGGGAUAACUUCGGGAAACCGGAGCUAAUACCGGAUGAUAUUUUGAACCGCAUGGUUCAAAAGUGAAAGACGGUCUUGCUGUCACUUAUAGCUGGUUCCGCGCUGCAUUAGCUAGUUGGUAAGGUAACGGCUUACCAAGGCAACGAUGCAUAGCCGACCUGAGAGGGUGAUCGGCCACACUGGAACUGAGACACGGUCCAGACUCCUACGGGAGGCAGCAGUAGGGAAUCGUCCGCAAUGGGCGAAAGCCUGACGGAGCAACGCCGCGUGAGUGAUGAAGGUCUUCGGAUCGUAAAACUCUGUUAUUAGGGAAGAACAUAUGUGUAAGUAACUGUGCACAUCUUGACGGUACCUAAUCAGAAAGCCACGGCUAACUACGUG